rnacentral:miRNA from 12 species
GGGGGGGGGGGGGGGGGGGGGGGGGGGGGGGGGGGGCGGAGCGGAGCGGAGCGGAGCCGGGCUCUCCUCAGCCGGCCAGGGCGGGGCUUGCUCGCCGUCCCCGAUCCCGGC